rnacentral:lncRNA from 1 species
UUAUUCCGGGUCAAGCAGGUCUACCCAUAAUUCCCUGUAUGGCCGAGGGCGCCAUUUUGGAACACAAAUGUAAACAAACACUCAAACCUCGUGUAAUCGAUGGUAACGCUUGAAAAGAGUGUCCGGAUGAAUAAAAGAGACAUUCAUCUGUGCAGCAUCAAUGCAAAGAAAGACCAUAGAAGAGCAACAAAACUGAAGUCCUGCUUGAGAUCCCUGGAUGAGUACUCCAGGCUGACAGUCAGGAAGGACCAGACAAGGGAGUCAUUAACAGAGAGUGCACCCCUUCAGAUAUCAGAGGUUAUUUGCAGACAGCGAUGACGAGGGUCCUGUUAUUUCAAUGGAGGCCGACCGAGAAGUUGUAUGCUAAAUGGUACUGGGACACACAAAGGCUGGUCUGGCUAAUGUGAGAAGACCAACCAAUGCCAAGCUGGAGUGGAAUCCUUCCAGGACAUUCAAGACAUUCUUGUCUUGAGCCAUGUGGUAAACACUUGAAAGGAAUGAUAAAUGGGACUUAUUGUCUUUAAAUGUGGACCCAAACACCAAAUGGAAAGUUCACAAUUCUACUAACACAAUGCAGCAGAGAUAGAGUCCAACUGGUAUCCCCUCAUCCUGGUUCCUGUUCAUCCAUGGCAAUAUAGAAAGAAAAGGAGGAUUGAGGGAAAGUAAGUUCUCUGAACUGGUGAACAUAAUCCGUAGGUACUGUCAAGCGAACAGUUAUCACACUCUGUUAUGAGUAUUGAAGAAUAGGAUGAAAUUGCAUACUGCAUCAGGAACCAUCAUGUGAACACUGUUCAAUGUGCGAUAUACUAUAGGCAUAUGAAUAAAAGAA